ensembl:misc_RNA Metazoa_SRP Metazoan signal recognition particle RNA
GCUGGGUGUGGUGGUGCAUGCCUAUAGUCCCAGCUACUUGGGGAGGCUGAGGUGGGGGGCUCACUUGAGCCUGGGAGGUUGGGGCUGCAGUGAGCCGUGAUUGUGCCACUGUAUUCCAGCCUGGGUGACACAGUGAGACCCCCUCUCAU